UACGGAGGGUGCAAGCGUUAUCCGGAUUCACUGGGUUUAAAGGGUGCGUAGGUGGGCAGUUAAGUCAGUGGUGAAAUCUCCGGGCUUAACCCGGAAACUGCCAUUGAUACUAUCUGUCUUGAAUACCGUGGAGGUAAGCGGAAUAUGUCAUGUAGCGGUGAAAUGCUUAGAUAUGACAUAGAACACCAAUUGCGAAGGCAGCUUACUACACGUACUAUUGACACUGAGGCACGAAAGCGUGGGGAUCAAACAGG
rnacentral:rRNA from 1 species